GCUUGCAGUACAGGGAAGACAGCUAACUCCUGACUGCUUGUGAACAGGGUGUCUGUGAACAGGUCAAGACCACCUGGCUUCUCCCACCGUGUAUCCACUUGGGCAAGAAAACAGGGACAGAAAAAUUUUCACCAUUACCAGAGGAAAGAAAUUCUCCAUUCAAGAAGCAUUUCUGGCAUCUAACUGAUACCAAAAGGGAGGACAAAUCAACUGUUCAGGAUUUUGUUAAGACCACCAGGGCAUGUUUUGCAACCUCAGCCUUCUUCUCUAACACAGACGGGUGUCAUUCUUAAGUCAUACACAUUCUCCAGUUCCUGACAUCCUGAAAAAUCUCCCAUACUCCCUGAGA